AUUGAACGCUGGCGGCAUGCUUUACACAUGCAAGUCGAACGGCAGCGGGGUAGUGCUUGCACUACUGCCGGCGAGUGGCGAACGGGUGAGUAAUAUAUCGGAACGUACCGAGUAAUGGGGGAUAACCAAUCGAAAGAUUGGCUAAUACCGCAUACGUCCUGAGGGAGAAAGCGGGGGAUCGCAAGACCUCGCGUUAUUCGAGCGGCCGAUAACUGAUUAGCUAGUUGGUGGGGUAAAGGCCUACCAAGGCGACGAUCAGUAGCGGGUCUGAGAGGGCGAUCCGCCACACUGGGACUGAGACACGGCCCAGACUCCUACGGGAGGCAGCAGUGGGGAAUUUUGGACAAUGGGGGCAACCCUGAUCCAGCCAUGCCGCGUGUAUGAAGAAGGCCUUCGGGUUGUAAAGUACUUUUGUUAGGGAAGAAAAGGGAAGUGCUAAUACCACUUUUUGCUGACGGUACCUAAAGAAUAAGCACCGGCUAACUACGUG
rnacentral:rRNA from 1 species